UACGUAGGGACCAAGCGUUGUUCGGAUUUACUGGGCGUAAAGGGCGCGUAGGCGGCAUGACAAGUCACUUGUGAAAUCUCCGGGCUUAACUCGGAACGGUCAAGUGAUACUGUCGCGCUAGAGUGCGGAAGGGGCAAUCAGAAUUCUUGGUGUAGCGGUGAAAUGCGUAGAUAUCAAGAGGAACACCUGAGGUGAAGACGGGUUGCUGGGCUGACACUGACGCUGAAGCGCGAAAGCUAGGGGAGCAAACGGG
rnacentral:rRNA from 1 species